rnacentral:rRNA from 1 species
GGUAGACGAUGGGGAUGCGUUCCAUUAGAUAGUAGGCGGGGUAACGGCCCACCUAGUCUUCGAUGGAUAGGGGUUCUGAGAGGAAGGUCCCCCACAUUGGAACUGAGACACGGUCCAAACUCCUACGGGAGGCAGCAGUGAGGAAUAUUGGUCAAUGGGCGAGAGCCUGAACCAGCCAAGUAGCGUGAAGGAUGACUGCCCUAUGGGUUGUAAACUUCUUUUAUAAAGGAAUAAAGUCGGGUAUGGAUACCCGUUUGCAUGUACUUUAUGAAUAAGGAUCGGCUAACUCCGUGCCAGCAGCCGCGGUAAUACGGAGGAUCCGAGCGUUAUCCGGAUUUAUUGGGUUUAAAGGGAGCGUAGAUGGAUGUUUAAGUCAGUUGUGAAAGUUUGCGGCUCAACCGUAAAAUUGCAGUUGAUACUGGAUAUCUUGAGUGCAGUUGAGGCAGGCGGAAUUCGUGGUGUAGCGGUGAAAUGCUUAGAUAUCACGAAGAACUCCGAUUGCGAAGGCAGCCUGCUAAGCUGCAACUGACAUUGAGGCUCGAAAGUGUGGGUAUCAAACAGGAUUAGAUACCCUGGUAGUCCACACGGUAAACGAUGAAUACUCGCUGUUUGCGAUAUACUGCAAGCGGCCAAGCGAAAGCGUUAAGUAUUCCACCUGGGGAGUA